rnacentral:rRNA from 1 species
UACGUAGGGACCGAGCGUUGUCCGGAAUCAUUGGGCGUAAAGAGCGUGUAGGCGGCUAUUUAAGUCCUGCGUGAAAUCCUGCGGCUCAACCGCAGACGGUCGUGGGAAACUGGAUGGCUAGAGUGCGGGAGAGGAGAGUGGAAUUCCCGGUGUAGCGGUGAAAUGCGCAGAUAUCUGGAGGAACACCGGUGGCGAAGGCGGCAUCCUGGACCGGCAUUGACGCUGAGGAGCGAAAGCCAGGGGAGCAAACGGG